CCCCAAUGUAUGUUUAUAGAAUGNAAUCAAUGGGCCUUUGUGCCUAUAAAUUUUUACAACUUUCAGCAACGGAUCUCUUGGCUCUCGCAUCGAUGAAGAACGCAGCGAAAUGCGAUAAGUAAUGUGAAUUGCAGAAUUCAGUGAAUCAUCGAAUCUUUGAACGCACCUUGCGCUCCUUGGUAUUCCGAGGAGCAUGCCUGUUUGAGUGUCAUUAAUAUAUCAACCUUCUUUGGUUGGAUGUGGGUUUGCUGGUCUCUUUUUGAGGUCGGCUUCCCUUAAAUGCAUUAGCGGACAACAUUUUGCCAACCGUUCAUUGGUGUGAUAAUUAUCUACGCUAUUGACGUGAAGCAUGGGUUCAGCUUCUAAUAGUCCAUUGACUUGGACAAUUUUAUUUA
rnacentral:rRNA from 1 species